UCGGGAAUUUUGGGCAAUGGGCGAAAGCCUGACCCAGCAACGCCGCGUGAAGGAUGAAGUAUUUCGGUAUGUAAACUUCGUAAGAAUAGGAAGAAUAAAUGACGGUACUAUUUGUAAGGUCCGGCUAACUACGUGCCAGCAGCCGCGGUAAUACGUAGGGACCAAGCGUUGUUCGGAUUUACUGGGCGUAAAGGGCGCGUAGGCGGUUUGUCAAGUCAGUUGUGAAAUCUCCGAGCUCAACUCGGAACGGUCAACUGAUACUGUCAAACUAGAGUACAGAAGGGGCAAUCGGAAUUCUUGGUGUAGCGGUGAAAUGCGUAGAUAUCAAGAGGAACACCUGAGGCGAAGGCGGGUUGCUGGGCUGAUACUGACGCUGAAGCGCGAAAGCUAGGGUAGCAAACGGGAUUAGAUACCCACGUAGUCCCUGAGCGGGCUGGCAAGGCGCAU
rnacentral:rRNA from 1 species